GGGAUUUGAUAACACUCUAGAAUAACGUAUUUUUAUGUAUUAGUUAUGUAUUUAUUCUGAGUAUGAUCCUGCUAAUUUGAGCUAUUUAUGAUCUUUUAUCUCAUAGGGACUAAAUUUGAGGCAAAAGUGAAAUUAAGGGCCAAAAGCGUGAAUUUAGAGAUAAAAUGGGCCAAUAUGCGACACAAGGAAAAGUUGGUGCCAAAAGUGCAAGCAUGGAGGACACAAGG
rnacentral:lncRNA from 1 species